ACUAUUUUCAUGUCCGACAGUAGAACUCCAUUGAAUUUUAAAUGUCUCAAAUGUCCGACAAUCCAUCCAUCCAUGAUUCCUUUCUUUCCGUACAGUCAAACGUGGUAAUCGUGGAGGAAUCUUUUGGCUCCGUCAGUAGGUGGCUAAAAUCAAGUUGUCCCACAGCCGCCAGAUGACGCGAGUCUCUUUGAGAGGAAGACGAAAUUUUCGCCAUUUUGUUCCCAAACGCCAAGUGGAAAGGUAUUCCAAAUUCGUUACGGAAUUGCGUUGUCAAUCUACAUUUUCUGAUUUUCAGCAUUGAAAUUGAAUGUCAAUCUAGCAUAUGAUUUCCACUUAUAAUCGAUCACGUGGACUGAAACUGCUUUAGUGCUUUCCAUUUUGCCGAAAUGUCGUCCGUUGUUAGCUGUACCUGUUCGGAUGUAGUCUCAUCUCAGGCAGAAACACUGCAGAGUUGGUGUUCAGGUUGGAGAUCCCGUUGCUUAACUGUUGCAGAAUGUGAGCAAUCAACAAAUUCUGAGCUCCAUGGCUGGCAUCGUGGCCACAGUGGUUUUGUUGCAGCCAGCUGGUGAAAGGCGUGAUCAAGUCAAGUUGAGCUGCUGCUGCUGCUGCAUGCAGUUUAUCGAGCUGGUGUUAUCCUGAAGUGUCAUUGCAGGAACUUUUUGAAAUGGACUUGGUGAUACUUAAACUAUGCCUGUGCUGUUCAAUGUACCGUGGUUUUGCAGCCUGCUUCCAGUUGAGAGAUGUUAUUAUGCAGCUGAUACCGGAUUGAAGAAAAAGAACUGAAGUAGCUGUGCUGGUGUUCUCCUGAAAUUGCUGUGCCACAGGAGUUGCAGAUAGUGUUUGGUUCCUCAUAGAAGUUUAUUUAAAGAGUCUGGAGAUGAUCAGCCACUUCUGCCUAUAACUUAUGUAAAACUUCAAAGUUGUAAGAAAUAUACAAGUCAAGUGCUAAA